GUACUUGCCUGGCAGGGAGAUACCAUGAUCAUGAAGGUGGUUUUCCCAGGGUGAGGCUUAUCCAUUGCACUCCAGAUGUGCUGACCCCUGCGAUUUCCCCAAAUGUGAGAAACCCAACUGCAUAAUUUGUGGUGGGGGACUUCAUUCAUAUUCUCCCCUU